UGCAGUCGAGCGNAUGAUGAAGAAGCUUGCUUCUUCUGAUUUUAGCGNNNNNNNGGUGAGUAACACGUGGGCAACCUACCUUGUAGAUUGNNAUAACUCCGGGAAACCGGGGCUAAUACCGAAUAAUCCAUUUUGCUUCAUGGCGAAAUGUUAAAAGGCGGCUUUGGCUGUCACUGCAAGAUGGGCCCGCGGCGCAUUAGCUAGUUGGUAAGGUAACGGCUUACCAAGGCGACGAUGCGUAGCCGACCUGAGAGGGUGAUCGGCCACACUGGGACUGAGACACGGCCCAGACUCCUACGGGAGGCAGCAGUAGGGAAUCUUCCACAAUGNACGAAAGUCUGAUGGAGCAACGCCGCGUGAGUGAAGAAGGUUUUCGGAUCGNAAAACUCUGUUGUAAGGGAAGAACACGUACGAGAGUAACUGCUCGUACCUUGACGGUACCUUAUUAGAAAGCCACGGCUAACUACGUGCCAGCAGCCGCGNNAAUACGUAGGUGGCAAGCGUUGUCCGNAAUUAUUGNGCGUANAGCGCGCGCAGGCGGUCCUUUAAGUCUGAUGNGAAAGCCCACGGNUCANCCGUGNNNGGUCAUUGNAACUGGGGGNCUUGAGUNCAGAAGAGNANAGCGNAAUUCCAAGUGUANCGAUGAANUGCGUA
rnacentral:rRNA from 1 species